rnacentral:rRNA from 1 species
UACACUCCUGCGGGAGGCAGCAGUGGGGAAUAUUGCACAAUGGGCGCAAGCCUGAUGCAGCCAUGCCGCGUGUAUGAAGAAGGCCUUCGGGUUGUAAAGUACUUUCAGCGGGGAGGAAGGCAAUACGGUUAAUAACCGUGUUGAUUGACGUUACCCGCAGAAGAAGCACCGGCUAACUCCGUGCCAGCAGCCGCGGUAAUACGGAGGGUGCAAGCGUUAAUCGGAAUUACUGGGCGUAAAGCGCACGCAGGCGGUCUGUCAAGUCGGAUGUGAAAUCCCCGGGCUCAACCUGGGAACUGCAUUCGAAACUGGCAGUCUUGAGUCUUGUAGAGGGGGGUAGAAUUCCAGGUGUAGCGGUGAAAUGCGUAGAGAUCUGGAGGAAUACCGGUGGCGAAGGCGGCCCCCUGGACAAAGACUGACGCUCAGGUGCGAAAGCGUGGGGAGCAAACAGGAUUAGAAACCCUGGUAGUCCCAUGA